GAAGCAAGCCAAGACAGCCGCUGGCGAGCGUGUAAUGCGCUCGCGGGAGGAAGGUCCGGACUCCAUAGAGCAGGGUGACGGUUAACGGCCGUCCGCCGUGAGGCGAGGAACAGGGCCACAGAGACGAGCGUAUUAAGUUACGGUGAAACGCGGUAACCUCCACCUGGAGCAAUUCCAAAUAGGCACGCGUUGAUGCUGCUCGCGGAGCGUGCGGGUAGGAAGCUUGAGCCGUGGAGUAAUUCACGGCCUAGAGGAAUGGCUGUCAUAGCGACCGGUCUACGCCGGGCGCCGUAACAGAAUCCGGCCUAUCGGCUUGCUUCAACU
rnacentral:RNase_P_RNA from 1 species